UACGGGGGGGGCAAGCGUUGUUCGGAAUUACUGGGCGUAAAGGGCUUGUAGGUGGCCAACUAAGUCAGACGUGAAAUCCCUCGGCUUAACCGGGGAACUGCGUCUGAUACUGGAUGGCUUGAGUGUGGGAGAGGGAUGCGGAAUUCCAGGUGUAGCGGUGAAAUGCGUAGAUAUCGAGAGGAACGCCUGCGGCGAAGGCGGGUUGCUGGGCUGAUACUGACGCUGAGGCGCGAAAGCCAGGGGAGCGAACGGG
rnacentral:rRNA from 1 species